rnacentral:misc_RNA from 1 species
GAUGAAGAACGUAGCGAAAUGCGAUAAGUAAUGUGAAUUGCAGAAUUCAGUGAAUCAUCGAAUCUUUGAACGCACAUUGCGCCCCCUGGUAUUCCGGGGGGCAUGCCUGUCCGAGCGUCGUUGCUGCCCUCAAGCACGGCUUGUGUGUUGGGCCUCCGUCCUCCUCCCGGGGGACGGGCCCGAAAGGCAGCGGCGGCACCGCGUCCGGUCCUCGAGCGUAUGGGGCUUCGUCACCCGCUCUUGUAGGCCCGGCCGGCGCUUGCCGACACAUCAAUCUUUUUUCCAGGUUGACCUCGGAUCAGGUAGGGAUACCCGCUGAACUUAAGCAUAUCAAUAAGCGGAGGA